rnacentral:rRNA from 1 species
CCCUACGGGUGGCAGGAGUGGGGAAUAUUGCACAAUGGGCGCAAGCCUGAUGCAGCGACGCCGCGUGCGGGAUGGAGGCCUUCGGGUUGUAAACCGCUUUUGUUCAAGGGCAAGGCACGGGCUUUGGCCGUGUCGAGUGGAUUGUUCGUAUAAGCACCGGCUAACUACGUGCCAGCAGCCGCGGUAAUACGUAGGGUGCAAGCGUUAUCCGGAUUUAUUGGGCGUAAAGGGCUCGUAGGCGGCUCGUCGAGUCGGGUGUGAAAGUCCAGUGCUUAACCGUGGAUCCGCGCCGGGUUGGGGCGGGCUUGAGUGCGGUAGGGGAGACUGGAAUUCCUGGUGUAGCGGUGGAAUGUGUAGAUAUCGGGAAGAACACCAAUGGCGAAGGCAGGUCUCUGGGCCGUUACUGACGCUGAGGAGCGAAAGCGUGGGGAGCGAACAGGAUUAGAUACCCUGGUAGUC